rnacentral:lncRNA from 1 species
CAGAAUUUGGGGGAACAAGACUCUAGACAGCCUCUAGAGAGAGCUGUAUUGAAGGCCCUGCGACCCAGCACAGAGAAGGGAAUGGUGCUCUAGGUCCCUGCCUCUGUAGAAGACAAAUCCAGGAAGAGAACCAGGAAACUGCAGAGUAGCCAGCCACAUGCGAGAAAAAUCUGAAGGAUGAAUACCUGACUCUGAGUCACAGGACGGAACGGAUGGAUAUGUGGUUUUCAUCUGACAAUUUAUUUUUGUGGUGGUUCACUCACUAUAGGGCUUUUCAACUGGUGCAUAAUUUAGGUUAAAGUUUCUGAGCAGCUCUGGACUGCAAAAGGGCCUCCCUUCACUGAGCAGAUGUAUAUGACCCCGUGCUUCUCUGAUUCACACCAAACUUCAGAGAAACUCCGGGAAAGGUUCCUUCUGUAUUUAUUGAUGAGAAUUAUGUGAAGCCUCUACAACCAUCGUAGUUCAUAUCUCCAGAGAGGUAAAGGAAUGCUAACAGAACAAGUCACUGAAAAGGGAGACAUGGCCAGUGACAAUCAGGCUUCUCAGCUUCCACAGUGGCUGCAAACCAGUUUGAACAGAUUUCUGUUUGGCCCUUUCUCGGUUGCCUGAAGACACAAACUACUGAUGGCUGCAUCCACAUGACUGACUUCAAACACAGCACGCUGCACGAGAAAAGCCGGAUACGCGCGUGGGAAGUGGGUGGCUCCACCACCCUGCUGUUCAGUUGUUCUAUAAAAACUCAAGAAGAGUUGUUCUUUUUUUCUGACCUAGCUGGUACAGGUGAGUUAGAACGUCCUGAACUUUUGAAGGUGUGCAUGAGGACAUAGAAAUCUCGCUGACGGUGGCCAGUGCACUGUGAUCUGCCUGACCGAGGAUUCUGGAAAACCAAGCUGCUGACAACUAGGAGUGCAAGAGCAUAAGUGAUGUAAAGAAAUAAAGAAUAAAGUCAACUAAAUUAUGGCAUCUCUCAUUCAAGAGCCUCAUGUGAU